rnacentral:rRNA from 1 species
GACGAACGCUGGCGGCGUGCUUAACACAUGCAAGUCGAACGGAAAGGCCCUGCUUUUGUGGGGUGCUCGAGUGGCGAACGGGUGAGUAACACGUGAGUAACCUGCCCUUGACUUUGGGAUAACUUCAGGAAACUGGGGCUAAUACCGGAUAGGAGCUCCUGCUGCAUGGUGGGGGUUGGAAAGUUUCGGCGGUUGGGGAUGGACUCGCGGCUUAUCAGCUUGUUGGUGGGGUAGUGGCUUACCAAGGCUUUGACGGGUAGCCGGCCUGAGAGGGUGACCGGCCACAUUGGGACUGAGAGACGGACCAGACUCCUACGGGAGGCAGCAGUGGGGAGUAUUGCACAAUGGGCGGAAGCCUGAUACGACGACGCCGCGUGCGGGAUGACGGCCUUCGGGUUGUAAACCGCUUUCGCCUGUGACGAAGCGUGAGUGACGGUAAUGGGUAAAGAAGCACCGGCUAACUACGUG